rnacentral:lncRNA from 1 species
GUUUAACAUCAUUAGGUGGAUUAACAGCGAUGGGUUUAACAUCAGUAGGUGGAUUAACAGCGAUGGGUUUAACAUCAUUAGGUGGAUUAACAGCGAUAGGUUUAACAUCAUUAGGUGGAUUAACAGCGAUGGGUUUAACAUCAGUAGGUGGAUUAACAGCGAUGGGUUUAACAUCAGUAGGUGGAUUAACAGCGAUGGGUUUAACAUCAGUAGGUGGAUUAACAGCGAUGCGUGUAACAUCAGUAGGUGGAUUAACAGCGAUAGGUUUAACAUUAGGUGGAUUAACAGCGAUGGGCUUAACAUCAGUAGGUGGAUUAACAGCGAUGGGUUUAACAUCAGUAGUUGGAUUAACAGCGAUGGGUUUAACAUCAGUAGGUGGAUUAACAGCGAUAGGUUUAACAUCAGUAGGUGGAUUAACAGCGAUAGGUUUAACAUCAGUAGAUGGAUUAACAGCGAUGGGUUUAACAUCCGUAGGUGGAUUAACAGCGAUGGGCUUA